UCUCGAUUGGUCUAGUGGUCAGGAUACCUGCUUGUCACUAGUCGUUGCGAAUUCCACGAUUGUGGAUGCUAGUAACGAUCUAAGAGCAAAACCGCAGGUGGCCGGGGUUCGAUUCCCCGAUCGAGAG